rnacentral:lncRNA from 1 species
AAAAGAGGGAGUGUCCCUCCUCCAGGAAGCUCCCAGCCUAGCUGGCGAGCAUGGCCUCCCUUCUCCUCCUGGCCUCCCUUCUCCUCCUGGCCUCCCUUCUCCUCCUGGCUCCACGCCUUCUCUUUGCUUCCUCCCAUUGCCGUUUCUCCUGACGAUCUAAGAAAGAGCAGAAGCCUGAAAUUGGGACCUGGAGGGGACGUCUCUAAUCAAUCUUUGUCCUGGACGUGGGGACGCCGGCGCUGUGGUGCCUGCCCAGCACAUCCUGAGAUGACGCCACUGCUCCUCUUUGGCCCUGCUGAACUGUAUUCCAUGCUGGCUGUCUUUUUCCUGCAUCAGGGGAAUCCACUGGUGGAUGUGAUGGGAGAACUUCUUGGCCAGGCCGGCUGUUCCGGUCAACACUGCAAAUCCAGGACUCACACAAUGCACUGAGGAGCUUCUGCUGCGGCAGGAAGGACACUGGCCGUGGAGCCCAGAGCCGUGGGCUUGGGUGUGAUGUCCCGAGCUCAUGCUGCCAUGGUGUGGCCUCUGAGCCUGGCUCAUCUCCAGAGAACCACAUAAAGAUGAGUUGAUGGCAGAUGGUCCUAGAGGUCCCUUCAGGGUCUCACAUUCCUCAUCUACCAACUCUUCUCUGCAUCUGUGAAAGCCAUGAUCCCCACUGACCUGUGGCAGGUACAGUGAAUACUCCACAUCACAGAUGGCGGAAGCACAAAUGGUCCCUCCCACCCAAAUGCCCAUAGGCACUUGGUAACGACUCCUCUCGUCCCGAAAGCUGCUGAUCUGCUUCUCGCCAGUGCUGCGUGUCUUGCUUCUGC